rnacentral:rRNA from 1 species
GAUCAUGGCUCAGGAUGAACGCUAGCGACAGGCUUAACACAUGCAAGUCGAGGGGCAGCAUGAUUUGUAGCAAUACAGAUUGAUGGCGACCGGCGCACGGGUGGGUAACGCGUAUGCAACUUACCUAUCAGAGGGGGGAUAGCCCGGCGAAAGUCGGAUUAAUACCCCAUAAAACAGGGGUCCCGCAUGGGAAUAUUUGUUAAAGAUUCAUCGCUGAUAGAUAGGCAUGCGUUCCA